AACUGCUAUAACGGCCACAACAGAAGUGUUCACAUCGUGGCCCCUGUCAGAUUCCAGUAAAUCUGGAAAUUCUGCU
ensembl:ribozyme